AGAGUUUGAUUCUGGCUCAGAACGAACGCUGGCAGCGUGGAUUAGGCAUGCAAGUCGAACGGGAAGCGGUAAAUUCAAUCUUCGGAAAGAGUUUGCUGUGGAUAGUGGCGAAAGGGUGAGUAACGCGUGGGUAACCUGCCCCUGAGUUGGGGACAACAGCUGGAAACGGCUGCUAAUACCGAAUAUGGUACUUUGUCGCAUGACGGGGAUAUUAAAGGUGGGGAUUCUUCGGAACCUGCCGCUUGGGGAGGGGCCCGCGUCCCAUCAGUUUGUUGGUAGGGUAACGGCCUACCAAGACUAACGGGUAGCCGGCCUGAGAGGGUGAUCGGCCACACUGGGACUGAGACACUGCCCAGACUCCUACGGGAGGCUGCAGUCGAGGAUCAUUCGCAAUGCGCGAAAGCGUGACGAUGCGACGCUGCGUGGAGGAUGAAGGCUCUAGGGUUGUAAACUCCUGUCAUGAGGGAAAAGCCGCACGGGUGUUAAUAACACCUGUGCCCGAUGGUACCUCAAAAGGAAGCGACGGCUAACUCUGUGCCAGCAGCCGCGGUAAUACAGAGGUCGCUAGCGUUGUUCGGAUUUACUGGGCGUAAAGCGUGCGUAGGUGGUUCCGUGUGUCGGAUGUGAAAUCCCACAGCUCAACUGUGGAACUGCAUUCGAAACUGCGGGACUAGAGUACAGGAGGGGAGAGCGGAAUUCUUGGUGUAGCGGUGAAAUGCGUUGAUAUCAAGAGGAACACCGGUGGCGAAGGCGGCUCUCUGGAAUGUUACUGACACUGAGGUACGAAAGCUGGGGGAGCAAACAGGAUUAGAUACCCUGGUAGUCCCAGCCGUAAACGGUGCACACUUGGUGUGGGAGGUAUUGACCCCUUCCGUGCCGGAGCUAACGCGUUAAGUGUGCCGCCUGGGGAGUACGGCCGCAAGGCUAAAACUCAAAGAAAUUGACGGGGGCCCGCACAAGCGGAGGAGCAUGUGGCUUAAUUCGAUGCAACGCGAAGAACCUUACCUGGGCUUGACAUGGUGACCCUUCGGGGGUGGAGGUGAAAGCCUCCUUUACAAUCACAGGUGCUGCAUGGCUGUCGUCAGUUCGUGCCGUGAGGUGUUGGGUUAAGUCCCGCAACGAACGCAACCCUAGUGUUUAGUUGCCACCGCAGGUGAUGAGCCUGCGAGCACUCUAGACAGACUGCCCGUACAAGCGGGAGGAAGGUGGGGAUGACGUCAAGUCAGUAUGGCCCUUACGCCCAGGGCUGCACACGUGCUACAAUGGUCGGUACAAUGGGACGCAAGACCGCGAGGUGGAGCAAAUCCCCAAAACCGGCCCAAGUUCGGAUUGGAGUCUGCAACUCGACUCCAUGAAGUCGGAUUCGCUAGUAACGCCGUAUCAGCUACGACGGCGUGAAUACGUUCCCGGGCCUUGUACACACCGCCCGUCACAUCAUGAAAGCCGUCUGCACCCGAAGUCGCUGAUCCAACCCGCAAGGGAGGAAGGUGCCGAAGGUGUGGGUGGUGAUUGGGAUGAAGUCGUAACAAGGUA
rnacentral:rRNA from 1 species